CAAGGUCUCGUUGGUGACCAGCGGAGGGUCAUUACCGAGUUUACAACUCCCAAACCCAAUGUGAACGUUACCAAACUGUUGCCUCGGCGGGGUCACGCCCCGGGUGCGUCGCAGCCCCGGAACCAGGCGCCCGCCGGAGGAACCAACCAAACUCUUUCUGUAGUCCCCUCGCGGACGUAUUUCUUACAGCUCUGAGCAAAAAUUCAAAAUGAAUCAAAACUUUCAACAACGGAUCUCUUGGUUCUGGCAUCGAUGAAGAACGCAGCGAAAUGCGAUAAGUAAUGUGAAUUGCAGAAUUCAGUGAAUCAUCGAAUCUUUGAACGCACAUUGCGCCCGCCAGUAUUCUGGCGGGCAUGCCUGUCCGAGCGUCAUUUCAACCCUCGAACCCCUCCGGGGGAUCGGCGUUGGGGAUCGGGACCCCUCACACGGGUGCCGGCCCCGAAAUACAGUGGCGGUCUCGCCGCAGCCUCUCCUGCGCAGUAGUUUGCACAACUCGCACCGGGAGCGCGGCGCGUCCACGUCCGUAAAACACCCAACUUUCUGAAAUGUUGACCUCGGAUCAGGUAGGAAUACCCGCUGAACUUAAGCAUAUCAAUAAGCGGAGGA
rnacentral:rRNA from 1 species